rnacentral:rRNA from 1 species
AGCUCCAAUAGCGUAUAUUAAAGUUGUUGCAGUUAAAAAGCUCGUAGUUGGAUUUCGGACUGGUGUGCGUUGGUCUGCCGCGAGGUGUGUUACUGACGCACGCUGUCUUAUACUAUUCUCAGAGUCCUGCUGUGCACUUCGUUGUGUGCAGUACUUGGAAUUUGAGACGUUUACUUUGAAAAAAUUAGAGUGUUCAAAGCAGGCUUUUCACGCCAGAAUACAUGAGCAUGGAAUAAUGGAAUAGGACUACGGUCUUAUUUUGUUGGUUUCUGAGACCGAAGUAAUGAUUAAGAGGGACAAUUGGGGGCAUCCGUAUUUCGUUGUCAGAGGUGAAAUUCUUGGAUUUACGAAAGACGAACAACUGCGAAAGCAUUUGCCAAGAGUGUUUUCA